UACGAGGGAGGCUAGCGUUGUCCGGAUUUAUUGGGCGUAAAGAGCGUGUAGGCGGCCAGGUAGGUCUGCUGUGAAAACUCGAGGCUCAACCUCGAGAUGUCGGCGGAAACCAUCUGGCUAGAGUCCGGAAGAGGAGAGUGGAAUUCCUGGUGUAGCGGUGAAAUGCGCAGAUAUCAGGAAGAACACCCGUGGCGAAGGCGGCUCUCUGGGCCGAUACUGACACUGAGGAGCGAAAGCGUGGGGAGCGAACAGG
rnacentral:rRNA from 1 species